GACGAACGCUGGCGGCGCGCUUAACACAUGCAAGUCGAGCGCAGCGGCGGCCGGGUGAGUAACACGUUAGUAACAUGCCUUAGACAUUGGGAUAGCCUCGGGCAACCGGGAUUCAUACCACAUGGUCUAAGAUGGACUCGCGUCCCAUUAGCCUGUUGGUGAGGUAACGUCCCACCAAGGCGACGAUGGGUAGCCGGCCUGAGAGGGGGAACGGCUACAUUGGAACUAGGCAACGGUCAAAACUAUACGGGAGGGAGCAGUGGGGAAUAUUGCACAAUGGAGGGAACUCUGAUGCAGCGAGGCCGCGUGAACGAAGAAGGCUUUCGAGUCGUAAAGUUCUUUUAUAUGGGAAGCGGUACCAGAAGAAAAAGCCCCGGCUAACUACGUGCCAGCAGCCGCGGUAAUAC
rnacentral:rRNA from 1 species